rnacentral:rRNA from 1 species
GAUCGAUAACUGGGGUGAAGUCGUAACAAGGUAGCCGUAUCGGAAGGUGCGGCUGGAUCACCUCCUUUCUAAGGAA